AUUGAACGCUGGCGGCAGGCUUAACACAUGCAAGUCGAGCGGAGAUGAGGUGCUUGCACCUUAUCUUAGCGGCGGACGGGUGAGUAAUGCUUAGGAAUCUGCCUAUUAGUGGGGGACAACAUUCCGAAAGGAAUGCUAAUACCGCAUACGUCCUACGGGAGAAAGCAGGGGAUCUUCGGACCUUGCGCUAAUAGAUGAGCCUAAGUCGGAUUAGCUAGUUGGUGGGGUAAAGGCCUACCAAGGCGACGAUCUGUAGCGGGUCUGAGAGGAUGAUCCGCCACACUGGGACGGAGACACGGCCCAGACUCCUACGGGAGGCAGCAGUGGGGAAUAUUGGACAAUGGGGGGGACCCUGAUCUAGCCAUGCCGCGUGUGUGAAGAAGGCCUUAUGGUUGUAAAGCACUUUAAGCGAGGAGGAGGCUACUGAGACUAAUACUCUUGGAUAGUGGACGUUACUCGCAGAAUAAGCACCGGCUAACUCUGUGCCAGCCGCCGCAGUAAAAC
rnacentral:rRNA from 1 species